rnacentral:rRNA from 1 species
UACGUAGGGAGCAAGCGUUGUCCGGAAUCAUUGGGCGUAAAGCGCGCGUAGGUGGCCCCAUAAGUCCGCUGUGAAAGUCAAAGGCUCAACCUUUGAAAGCCGGUGGAUACUGUGGGACUAGAGUACGGAAGAGGCGAGUGGAAUUCCUGGUGUAGCGGUGGAAUGCGCAGAUAUCAUGAAGAACACCCGUGGCUAAGGCGGCUCUCUAGUACGGUACUGACGCUGAGACGCGAAAGCGUGGGGAGCGAACAGG